GGAUGAAAUGCCUGGAGAGUGGAGAGCACUGUUCCCUCUAAGGAAACACGAAGUUUAUUGCUAUAGAAACAUCCAGUAAGCAUCAUUGUGCAAAAGGAAACAAUCAGAACGGAGGUUGGGGACUAUGGGCCUUUUAUGACUUGGGCACUUCAAAGCCAGCAUGGUUGGCUCAGGAAUUUCUGUGUCACGGCUGCCUCCGAUCAACCCCCAGGGAAGAAAAACCUUGGCUCCAUAGAUUCAAAGAAAAGGGACUUUUACUGUGAAAGAACAAAAGACAAAUUGAAACUAACCUCAGUAUCCAGGCAACCACAGUCCAAUCAUUGG